rnacentral:lncRNA from 1 species
AGUCACACAAACUCCAAACUGUCACUGCUAAGUGCUACGCAAUGAUUAAGCAACCGCACUUGUUCUCGGUCGCCGCACUUAAUGUUCGCUCUCUGCCGGCGCAUUCCAAGGACGUGCACCACGACCCCGUCCUACGCCAUGCAUCUGUACUUUGCCUCUCGGAAACGUGGAUGGAUCCAAAACAGGCGGUAGAAAUCAUGGACUACCAGUACUGCUGCGGCGUCAGUAGAGAGCACAACAGAGCGGCAGGGGUGGCCAUCUACGUGCGUAAGGGUCUGUCUGCCGUACCCAUCGAGAUAUUUGGAACGUCAGACGAAGUUGGAGAACUUUGUGGCGCCAAGUUCGACAACGGCUUGGUAGUGGUGGCUCUGUAUAUCUCGCCUACAGCACUCACCAAAGAUAUCGUGCAUUUUCUGCGACUUGCGUUAAGCACACGUGGGUCCACACCCAUGUUAGUAGUGGGGGACUUUAAUGCAGACUUAAAGAAGGAUAAGAACUUCAUACCACUUAUGCAGGAAAACCUCCCAUUUCUCUCCCUCGUAACAGCUCACACCGCUGUGACGACCUCUCGAAACACGUGCAUAGACCUCGUCUUUCAAAAUCAGCCUUUGGUCCAUCACCUGGAACACAUAUCCUGCCACUUCUCAGAUCACAAGGCUUCCUUCAUAACAAUCAAGGACUGGGAUAAGAGUGCUAUUUAAAGCACCAGUAUAGGAGGAGCUUGCUCUAUAUUUGUAUAUAUUGUGGGGAUUUUGGACGCCGAACUUUGGCGACGAUAUGCACUGCACGCUAGGAAGAAAGGAGGAGGAGAAGAACGAAAGCUGGGAAAUUGUUCCCUCCGACGGUCUUGCGUACCUUGAGAGGUGUUAGGCGGGCCACUCGGAGGAGCAUCUACCAGCUUCGUUAUCAGUUGGAGCGUGCAAGUCGUACAAGACGAAGAGGAGGAGGAGGACGGUGAGGUUGAGGAGGAGGAGGAGAGGAGAUGCCAGAUACGUGUUGUGCAAGCAAGUGGUCUCAUCAAUCGUAAAUCACAUUGGAGCUUCCAGAUCUGACAAGUAUAUUCCCUUUCUCCGUACAAGCGGUGUGUUCCAAGCAUGUGACGACUUUCAUGACCCUGUUUCAUCAUCAAGUAUUGAAGUUCAUCUUGCGUCAGAUCUAAACAAAU